rnacentral:rRNA from 1 species
UACGUAGGUGGCAAGCGUUAUCCGGAAUUAUUGGGCGUAAAGGGCGCGCAGGUGGUUGAUUAAGUCUGAUGUGAAAGCCCACGGCUUAACCGUGGAGGGUCAUUGGAAACUGGUCGACUUGAGUGCAGAAGAGGGAAGUGGAAUUCCCAGUGUAGCGGUGAAAUGCGUAGAUAUUGGGAGGAACACCAGUGGCGAAGGCGACUUACUGGGCCACAACUGACGCUGAGGCACGAAAGCGUGGGGAGGCGAACAGGAUUAGAUACCCUGGUAGU